CUCUACCAAACUACCCCUUAGGUCAUUAAAAUUUCUUUCAAACCCUAUAUCAGAAUCUUUUUUUUUUUUUGGCAGAGAUGAAGUGUAAUAAAAUUUUGCUAUCUUUAUCUUUUUCUAUAUUACUUUUCGAGUUGAAUUUUUUGCUUUCUGAGUGAGAUCAAUUAUUAAAUAGAUAAAAAAAUUGGGUUGAUGAAUUAAAUAAGGAAUUUUUUGCAUGGACGUUGAUAUGGACCGUUCAAGUGAUUUUUUCUCCAUAUGGCAUGUUUGGUGUCUAAUCGCUAGACAGAUGGGUAAUUUUGAGCCAAAAAUUAAUGAAAAAGUAUUUUUGAGUCAAAACACUAAUGAAUGAUAUUUUUUCUCCAUUUCAUAUAGUUCGGAGGUAUUUUUGGUCAUUUUUCGUAUCUUUGUUAUUUUACUCUCUCUGUCUACUUUUACUUCUCUACUAUAUUAAAAAUGAAUGUCAAACAAUACUUGUCAAUUUUAGAAAAUCAAUGGAUAAUUACCUAUUUCUGUCUAUUUUACUCUUAGCUAUUAAUUACAAUUAUUACCAAUAUAUUUCUCAAAGUAUUAAAAAUAAUUAUGAAAGAAUAAUUAUAAUAAAACUAUCUCUAUCCUACUGUAUAUAUCAAGGGGGUGUUUGGGUGUGCUUAUAAGUUGGUCAAAACAACUUAUAAGCACUUUGUUGCUUAUAAUGGUGUUUGGUAAAGUUAUAAGUUGCUUAAAAUAAGUUGAUUUUGAUUUUUUUAAGCCAAAAUCAAGAAGCAGCCAAGUAGGUGCUUAUUUUUUUGAAAUUUUAAGUUGACUAUGUAAAUUACUAUUUUGUCCCCUACAAUUAUAUGUUAUUCCAAUGUUACCCUUAAUCAACAAUCUUAUUUUGUCUUUCAAAUGAAUAAAAGGGUUGAUUAGCCCCGCUUUGAAUAAAAAAAAAUUAAUAAUACGAAAUUAACGUAACCAUGAAGAAAUAAAUAAUCUUUUAAUAUAUAAUUAUAUUUUUCAAACACAAACAUUCAACACUUUAAACUCUUAAAAAAAUAUUUUUAGCGCACAAAUUAAUAGUCAUUCAUGAAAAUAUUUUUUUAAUAUAUAUAUAUAUAUUAAAAUAUAUAUUUAUUUUAACUUGAAUCAUUUUAGCAAUAAAACUUAAUAAUAAUUAACUCUAUAUAUUAUUGACAACUAUAAGGGUAUUUCAGUCAUUUUAACAAAAAAAAUGCUUAAAAGCACUAUUUACCAAACACAUCAAUAACUUUUUUUUAAGUUUCAGCACUUUUAUCCAAACACUUAACUGCUUAUUUUUUAAAUAAGUUCAACACUUUCAAAAAUAUUUUUUUUCAGCCAUUUUUUUUUUAACUUAUCCAAACGGGCUUCAAAUCUACUAUUGAUGAACAAGGAAGUAAUUAAUGUGGCAUUAAGUAGGUGAAAAGAUUAUGGAGAAAUGACAAUUGUUUUAAAGAUUAUUAUUCUAAUGAUUAUGACCAUUUAAAGUGUGUAAAAUCUUAAAGUCAGACCAAAUGGAACUUAUCUUAAAUAAAACUAUGGGGUCAUUUCGUUCAACUUCAAUUUAUAUUUAUUGCUACACGUUUCUCCAGUUUCUAAAUGCUUCCUUCGUAUAGUAAUGUUGGUUCAUUAUUAAUUUGAUGCACGUAUUAACAAAUACUUUUUUCGUUCUAAAUUAUUCAUUCUAAAUUUUUAUUUUACUUAUUUUUUUAUUAAUUAAGAUAAAAUAAUUUUUUUCUCAUUAUACCCUUAAUAAUUGAUUGCUCCUUGUCAUUAGCAUUGAAUUAUCAAAUCUUUAAAGAUUUUGCAAAGACUUUGGUAAUUAUAUAAUCCUAAUUAUCCAUACAAAAAGUGCUUUGAUAUCAGCCAUAUAAUAAAUUCAUCAAUAUUGGAACUAACAACAUGACAUAAUUAAUAGGGGCAAAGUGAUAAAGUUACAUUACCAAUCAUUAUUUUCUUAAUAGUUGUGUCAUCUCAAUUUGGGACGAGUAAUUUGAGACGAAGGGAGUACUAAAUAAUAAAGAUAAUUUUGUAAUAUUAUUCUUUAAAUAUAAUUAAUUUAUCAUUUUAGUAAAUGCAUUUCAUAAUAAAUGGUAUUUAAUAUCAAUGAUAAAAUGAGAAUAAAUAAAUAAAUUAUUUAUUUAUUGGUUUUUUAAAAUUAGAGAAGUGUUGUUCGUGAUUUAUUUUUAGUAUAUUGUACAAGUAUUGUUGGAUGAAGGGAGUACAAUAUUGUCAAUUCAAAAAUAAAAAUUACUCCUUCCAUUUCUAAAUACUUAUCGUUCUUACUAAAAGUAGAUAUUCCACAGUACUCUCCCAUUUCAAAAUAACUGACCGUCUCUCUAAAAAUAUUUGUUUUGAUUUAGUUGUCUCUUUUAUAAAAUCAAGCAAAUUUUAUUAUGUUUGUUUAAUAUUACAUCUAUCAUUAAAUAACUACACAAAAUAUAUAUAAUUAAAUUUAUAUUUUUCAAAUCAUAACGUUAAUUUAAUAAAAUAAAUUAUCAAUAAAUAUUUCGUAAGGGGAGACUGUUAGUCACCAAGAUCUAUCAAUUCUUUUGAAACUGAGGAAGUAUUUGUCAUUUUAGAAAAUUAAGACAUAAUUAAUUAUCUUUUUCAUUCUAUAUUUAGUCAUAAAUAUGAAGAGAUAUUAAUAUAAUGUCAAAAAAAUAUUAAAUAAAAUUAUGUAAUAAAUAAAAAUAAUUAGUCUAAUUAACCUCUAAUAGCAAAUAUUUAAGAAUGCAUGGAGCAUUUUUUUCCCUCAACGUUCAUGCGAAACGGACCCUUAAUAAUCGAAAGAGGUCACGUCACCCCUUGGAUCACACCAUCACUGGAGCUCGUACGAAACAGGGACGGCUCUACUUUGAAGCCUUAGGUCUCCAAAAUUUAAGCAUUUCUUUUUAAUAACAAUAGACAUUAUUCGUGAAAAAAUAAUUUAUUUAAUAAAAUAAAAAGUUAUUAAAUUUUUUUAAUAUAUUUAAAAUAUUAUAUCUCAAAAAAUUUAAAUAUAUUAAUUAUAUUAGUAAUUAAAAUAAAUUUUAUUUAAAAAAUACUUUUUCUUAAAAGCUUAAACCCUCUAUUUCAUUUGUCUCAGGCGAGUUGAACCGUCCCUAGUAGAGUUUGAAAUCAGACUAUGCUAUUAAAUUAAAAAAAAAUUAAAAUAUGUAAUGUAUUUAAAAUAUUACCAUAAUAUAUUUAACUCUCUUUUUAAGAGAGUUAUAUAUAUUAUUUUUAAUGAAAGUUACCAAACGAAGUUAAAUUUCUGAAAAAAAAAUACAUAACUUAGUUAAAAAGAGAGUUAUACAUUUUUUUCUACAUAAGUGAGUUAUAUAAUAAAUAUAUUACUUUACCUUUUCUCAUUUUACCCUUUUACUCCAAAAAAAAGUAUUAUACUGAGUUAAACGAGCAUCAACAACGUUAGUUGGAUCAUUAAAUUGCGUAUGCAAAUUCAUCUGUGUCGAAGAGUGCGCAUGACGAUUUUUCCACUCCUUCUUAACAUAGAUUUGAAGAAUGUUCAGCUUUAUUUGAAUAGCAUAGUCACGAGGAGCCCUCGAAAAUUCAGUCAACGACUCAUCGUCACUGAUAAUCUAUUCUCCAUGAUUUACCAAUCCUUGUGAUGAGAACGAAUUUGAAUACUGUCCAACUAUAAAUAAAUCAAAAUCAUCAUUUUUUAUUUUCAUUCUUCUAAAAAUAGAUUCUACAAAUUCUCUGUAACCAAUUAAAAUUGGAUACUUGACGUUGAACUUUGGAGAGAUACUAUAAUAUAUUGUAUUUCCCUCGUGAAUAAUUUCACCAUCUCAAAAACAACAAGAAUAAUUAAUAUAAUUAGUGAGUUUUAUAUGAUAAAUGUGAGUUUUAUAUAUAUAUAUAAUGUGAGUUUUAUAGAAAUAAGAAGGAUAACUUAUUUUUUUUUGUGAAUUUUACACUUUUUCUAGUGAUACUUUUUAUGAUUGACAAACGUUUUUGAUGAAUAUAUCAAUUUUUUGUAUAACUCAUAUAUUUUUAGCACCAUAUUCAUAUUUCAUAUCAUUAAUAAAGUUAUGCACCUAUCACACAUUUUAAAAGCUAUAUUCAACGAAUAACUUAUUUUUUUUACUUAUUUUAUAUUUGAAAAACUCACAUAAUCAGUGAGUUUUACUCUCUCAAUUUCGUAUUAAUUGACCUUCUUUCUAAUAAAUAAAACUUUAUAAAGAUGAAUUGAUUGUUCACAUAAUAUGUAAGUUUUAUAAAGUGAGUUGUAUAAUUUUUAUUAUAUUUAUGUAAAAAAAAAAAAGUGAGUCAUAUAACUUUUAUUAUAUAACUCACUUAAAAAGUGAAUUAUAAAAUAAAAAAAAUACAUAACUCUCUUUUAAAUAAGUUAUGUAACUUUUAUCAUAUAACUCAUUUAAAAAGUGUGUUAUGUAGAAAAAAAAUAUAUAACUCUCUUUUUAAAUGAGUAAUGUACUUUUUCAAAAGUUUAACUUCAUUUUACAAUUUUCGUUAAAAAUUAUACAUAUAACUCUUUUGAUUAAGCAUAUUAUGAUAACAUAUUAAAUACAUGACAUAUUUUAAUAUUUUUUUAUUUUCAAUACAUAUUUUGGUUCCGAACUUUCCCUAAUACUACUACUACACUACUCUAGGCAGUAGGCAGGACAACAAAUUUCUUUCUUCCCUUGUACUCUUGCUCAGUUCUAGAGCCUACAGGGGAAAGUAAUGUGGAACUAUGGACUCUGAUACUUUGUUCAUUUAUUUUUAUUAAUUUAAUCUAUCAAAAAUAAUUAUUUAAUUUAAAAAGAUAUUUAUAAUUUUAUUCUUAUUUUUCCAUUAGUAUUAAAUAUUUUUUUAUGUAGAAUUAUAAUUAUUUAUAUGUUUUUAUGUAGAAUUAUGUCCACAAUACAAAGUAGCCAUGUCAAGUCUAAUCUCCUCUCUCAAGUUUAUUCUACUUGUCUUUAGCUUUUCUUAAAUUCACUCUAGUUAACUUUUUAUAUGCUUUAAUUAUAUUAUUUAAAAAGGAGGUGUAAAAUUAAAUAUGAACCAAGUAUAAACAUAAAAGAAAAAGCAUACUUAGUUCUCUGGAGAACAAAAACAGCUGUUUUCCUUCUCCACUCUCCUAAUUUAUCUACGUAGUGAGUAGUGUACUUUUUUCAAUCCCUAUAUAAUUGCAAGAACAGAAUAAAGUGCAACUUAAUAAAGAAGGAAUAAUAAUAAGGUUGGUGAGGAAGGAAGCUCAUUCAUUUCAGUGCCUUCUAAAGGCACAAACAAGCUUGAGGGGAAACUGAAUUCUCCAACAUGGAUUCUUCUUGGAUAUCAAUGUUAAUGCUAAUGUUAUUAUUGGGUUCAUGGAUUUCUUGUGUAACUGCUUCUGUUUCAUAUGACAAUAAAGCUAUCAUUAUAAAUGGACAAAGAAAGAUCCUCAUUUCUGGAUCAAUUCAUUACCCAAGAAGCACACCUGAGGUAUACAGUAUACUGUCAUGUAAAAACAUUUUACUUCAUAUUUUGAUUUUGUUGUUCCAUGUUUUUAUUCAAGAUAGUUGUUUUUGCAAAAGGGUGACUUAAUAAGUUGCUCUUUCACUCUAUCAUUGAACUUUAAUUCAUUUCAUUUUUUAUUUUCAAGAAAAAAGGUUGUUUUGGUGUUUAUCUAUUAAGAUUGUGGUUUUGGCAAAUUAUCUCAUAAAUAGUUGCUCUUUUUACUCUCUCAUUGAACUUACAAGUUAUUUAAUCUUUUUUUUUUUCAAGAAAAUGGGGUGUUUAUCUUUGUCCUUGUUUUGGUGUUGAUCUAUUGAAGAUUGUGUUUUUUGGUAAAUGGAUGUCUUAAUUUUCUCUCUCACUGAACUUUAAAGUAUUUCUUUUUCAAGAUAAUAGGGUGUUCGUCUUUUUCAUUGUUUUGGUGUUUAUCUAUACGAGAUUGUGUGUUUUUGGCAAAAGGGUGUCUUAAUUAGCUGCUCUUUCACUCUCUCGUUGAACUUUGAAGUUUUCUUAUCUUUCAAGAAAAAGGGGUGUUUAUCUUUUCCUUGUUUUGGUGUUUAUCUAUUCAAGAAUAUGUUUUUUGGGGGCAAAAGGGUGUCUUAAUUUGUUGCUCUUUCAUUCUGUGAUUGAACUUUGAAGUCUUAUUUUUUAUUUUAUUUUUCAAGAAAAAGGGGUGUUUAUUUAUUCAAGAUUGUGUUUUUAUGGCAAAUGGAUGUCUUAAUUAGUUGCUUUCUUGCUGAACUUUAAAGUUUAGUUUUUUUUUGUGUGUGUUUUUGUUUCAAGAAAAAGUGGUGUUUAUAUUUUUCCUUGUUUUGCGGCUACAUAGAUGUGGCCAGAUCUUAUUCAGAAGGCAAAAGAAGGAGGAGUAGAUGUGAUACAGACUUAUGUUUUUUGGAAUGGGCAUGAGCCUGAGGAAGGGAAAGUGAGUAGACUCAUUUCUUCAAAUUUUUCAUGUUUCCAUCAUUGCUGCUAUUUAACGUACUUUCCUUUUCCAGUAUUAUUUUGAAGAGAGGUAUGAUUUGGUGAUGUUCAUUAAAGCGGUGCAAGAAGCAGGACUUUAUGUCCAUAUCAGAAUUGGACCUUAUGCAUGUGCUGAAUGGAAUUUUGGGUAUGGCUCAAAUAAUGACACCCCAUAUAGGCAUAAAGUUAAGUUCUUGAUCAUGUUAUAUGUUUCACUUUCAGUGGUUUUCCAGUUUGGCUGAAAUAUGUUCCUGGUAUCAGUUUCAGAACAGAUAAUGAGCCAUUCAAGGUUAGAUCAAGAUGUCAUAUAAGGAUUUCUUCAUUGCAACAAUUUUCUGUACCUGUCUUCCUUUGAUGUGACUGGUCUGUAAUUUAGGUGUAAUUGUUUUUUGUCUAAAUGUUGUAAUGUAGGCUGCAAUGCAAAAGUUUACUACCAAGAUUGUUGAUAUGAUGAAGUCAGAAAAUCUCUAUGAAUCUCAAGGUGGUCCGAUUAUUCUAUCUCAGGUUGUUGAAAAAGUUUCAAUCUCUUCUGUUUAUCAUUUUCUCCAGUAAAUAUUCCAAAUUUGUCUGACAAGAUUCUUCCAACAACUAAAACUAAGAGGUAAAAUUGAUGAAGAUAUCUGUCUUUGAAAUGAUAGAUAGAAAAUGAAUAUGGACCAAUAGAGUGGGAACUAGGUGAACCUGCUAAAGCUUACUCAGAGUGGGCAGCCAAAAUGGCUGUAGAUCUUGGCACUGGUGUCCCAUGGAUCAUGUGCAAGCAAGAUGAUGUUCCUGAUCCUAUUGUAAGUGGAUUCUAUAGAAUUUAUUAAUUUUCUAUCAAAAUUCUUUGUAUUUAAUGCUAUGUGCUCAUUUCUAGCUGGGGUUCUUGUGCAAAAAUUAUUGUCAGUUGUCAUUCUAGAUGUUGUGAAUUAAAUAGGAUACUUUUAACACCUGCACAUGGGGUGGCUUUUGUUCCCACUCCUAUCUGUUUUCUUAUGUCUUAAAAAAAUAUUCAGUGGCCUUUGAUUCUUGUAAUCACCAACUUGUGAAUGUAUUUGUUUCUUAGCCGUUGUUUGAUAGGAUGCAUUAGUAAAAAUAAUGCAUGCAUUAGCUUUGUGUAUUGCUAAAACCUUGUUUGGUACACUUUUUUAACAGUAACUAAUGCAAGCAUGAGUUAUACACUCUACUUGAUAUUAUGCUAUGUGUAACUAAUCCAUGACAAAGCAUUGUGUAGCAACGAAAAGAUUUUUGAGGCAUGCAUUAGCAUGGUUAAAGACACAGUUGUCCCUCAAAACCUAUUCCACAUCCUUUCCACCAUAUUUGUGGAGGGUAUUUUUUUAAACAAAUAAUUCCUCCUAGAAAUUAUGCAAUGUAUGUUAUUUUUAAUAUACCAGACCAAACAGUGCGUAAGAAAUAAUCUCAACAUUACUGGUACCAGCAUUACUAAUGCCAACAUUACUAAUACAACCUAUUCAACAUUAUUCUUAUACACCCUACCAAACGACCCCUUCGGUUUGCAAAAGAACAUUCCUUACCUGUUUGAAUCAAAUUUACAUCAAAGAUAUACUGUACCUGCCCUAUUUCUGAUAGCUACCUUUACUAAUACGUUGAAACAUCCUGGAAAACAACAUGGAUUGGCAUGUAUUCUGUUCUUUUUCUGUUUCAGAACAAAAUUUCCCUGGUAUUUUACCUUAAUAUAUCAACUUUCCUCUUGUCAGAUUAAUACUUGCAAUGGUUUCUACUGUGACUACUUCACACCAAAUAAGGCUUAUAAACCGAAGAUGUGGACUGAAGCCUGGACAGCAUGGUAACCUGCAUAUACAUCUCUCAUAUGCAAUAGGUGAAUAAUAUCUUAUUACAUCUUUGCUAGAGUUCAUGACGGAAUUCUGUUUUGAUAAUGCUGGCAGGUUUACUGAAUUUGGAGGUCCAGUUCUACAAACGGGAGGAUCCUUCGUCAAUUACUAUAUGGUAAUUUGUUGGACUUUGACAUUUAGAAGUCUUGUGAAUCCAGGAGAUUUAUGUUGUUCUAUGAUUCUUUAUUGUUGAUUUUGCCAGUAUCACGGAGGAACAAACUUUGGAAGGACUUCUGGUGGCCCAUUUAUUGCUACUAGUUAUGAUUAUGAUGCACCCUUAGAUGAAUUUGGUACGUUCUGUGUUAAAAUUUAUGUUUGGAUUGAACAUCUUAAUGCAAGGAGAUGGUUAAGGAUCAAAAAUCAGUUUCCUUUUUGUUCCAUACAAUCUAGUUCAGAAGGCAAUAUACAUGUUGUAGUAGGUCAUGCAAGCGCAUUUACAGCAAAGCUGGUGACAUCCAUGUCUACUGGUUCGCCUAAAUGAAUUUUCCAAGCUUGAUAGAAUAAGUUCAACCACUUUUGGUAGCUUUGCUGAUACUAAUAGAUCCAUCAAAUUAUUUUCUUGGAAGUUCUGUUCAUCAUAAAUGAUAUUAUGUUUCUCAGUUAGUCUAUGGCUGUUGAUAAAAAAUUACAUGAUACUAUGUUGUUGUUAAGUUAGUCUACUUUGGGGAGAAAAAAUUAUGAGGUUUCUUUACUAUCAAGUCCAUGAUUAGAACUAGGAAGAUGUAGAAGAUUUAGAAAUAGAGCAAAGGAAGUGGAAAUAAUCAUUUAGCUAAAGUGAACUUUUUGCCCUUUGAUCUUCAGGGUUAUUACGGCGACCUAAAUGGGGUCAUCUGAAAGAUCUACAUAGAGCAAUAAAGCUUUGUGAGCCUGCUUUAGUAUCUGGAGAUCUAACUGUAACAUCCUUAGGGAACUAUCAAGAGGUGACGUUUAUUUGGCUUCUUCUUAAAUCAGUCAGCCUUACCAUAUUUGAAGUGAAAACAAACUUUCAUUUUCUCUUGCAGGCCCAUGUUUUUAGGUCGGAAUCUGGGGUCUGCGCUGCCUUCCUAGCAAAUUACAACCAGCACUCUUUUGCUAAAGUGGCAUUUGGGAACAUGCAUUAUAACUUGCCACCCUGGUCUAUCAGCAUUCUGCCUGACUGCAAGAACACGGUCUAUAAUACUGCGAGGGUGAGAAAAUGACUCGUCUCCUGAAGUACUUAUUCUAUUAGUGCAUAACCAUGAAAAUAUCUCACAAUUUUGAAUAACAUUUACUUUCUUGAGAGAAUGCUUUAUACGUGACUCCAGAGCCAGAAGUCUGACAGCACACUCUUAAUUCAAUGUGAAGGUUGGUGCUCAAAGUGCUCAGAUGAAGAUGACUCCAGUAAGUACAGGAUUCUCUUGGGAGUCAUACAAUGAAGACGCACCAUCGCAUGAAGCCGAUACAUUCACAGUUGUUGGGUUAUUGGAGCAGAUAAAUAUCACAAGAGAUGUAUCUGAUUAUUUGUGGUAUAUGACUGAGUAAGUGCUUCUGGUAUUGCUUCACAAACAAAUAAGGUAGUUAAUCACACUCAAACUACUUUAGAUUGCUCACGUGUUUUGAUUAAUAAUGUUUACCUGCAGCGUCGAGAUUGAUCCAACAGAAGGAUUUUUGAAUAGCGGAAAUUGGCCUUGGCUUACGGUCUUCUCUGCUGGCCAUGCAUUGCAUGUAUUCGUGAAUGGCCAAUUAGCAGGUCUGAUGUCUUCUGUUACAUACAAUUGUGGUUUGAGCUCUUUUUAGUUUAUUGUUUUUUAUCGGAGGUUUGAGGAUUUUUAUUGCAUACAAUUUAUGGCCAAGUGGGGAAACAAUUUUGUGUAACAAGAAAAACUGAUGUCCCAGUCAAGCGGCAGCGGCACAUUGUUAUUUAACAUUUUUGUUCAUCCCAACUUUCUGCAGGAACCGUGUACGGAAGUUUAGAAAACCCAAAACUAACUUUCAGCAGUGGUAUAAAUCUGAGAGCUGGCGUGAACAAGAUUUCUCUGCUAAGCAUUGCUGUUGGUCUUCCGGUUAGUUCCUCUCUCUCCACCCCCUCUUUCUCUAUUGCAUGUGUAUAUUAUCACACAUAUGCGUGUUUAUCUCGUCGCGGAAGUUACUAGGCUCUAGGCACUGCACUAAAGUGAAACUGAUUUUGAGAGUUAUACUUCGGCGUUUCCAAUAUGUGCUCAUCAGAUGUCUUGCUUUUACAUGCGUUUGAAUGUAGAAUGUCGGCCCUCAUUUUGAGACAUGGAAUGCUGGUGUUCUUGGACCAGUUUCACUUAAUGGUCUUAACGAGGGGACAAGAGAUUUAACAUGGCAGAAAUGGUUCUACAAGGUUUGUCUUUUUACAUGUUCAAAAAAAAUUGUUCGCUUAAAUGCCUGGCUACCUGACUUCUCAUUUGUUUGACCAGGUUGGUCUGAAAGGAGAAGCUUUGAGUCUUCAUUCACUCAGUGGUAGCCCAUCUGUUGAGUGGGUUGAAGGCUCUUUAGUGGCUCAGAAACAGCCACUUAGUUGGUAUAAGGUGCAUAACUCAUAUCUUCUCUGCCAUUUUAGUUAUUAAAGUAAAAAGUUAUCCUUCAAUAAGACAGGAAUAUUUGGUUCCUCUAAAGCUUAGGCAUUACUUAAAGGAGUAAGCUUUACAGGGGCAUGCUGUGCUAAUGCCCCCUAUGCUAACAUUUACUGUAACAUGGAUCAUCUCAAGAAUUCAAAUUUCUUUGUCUUCAAAAGACCUGAGGAAAGGACCACUAAAUCCUUUUACUGUGUUUGCAGACUACAUUCAGCACUCCAGAUGGAAAUGAGCCUUUGGCUUUAGAUAUGAAUACCAUGGGCAAAGGUCAGGUAUGGAUAAAUGGUCAGAGCCUCGGACGCCACUGGCCUGGAUAUAAAUCAUCUGGAAGUUGUAGCGUAUGUAACUAUACUGGCUGGUUUGAUGAGAAAAAGUGUCUAACUAACUGCGGGGAGGGCUCACAAAGAUGGUAAGUGUUCGAGUUUUGCAUUUAGUUACUGCAGUAAUUUUAGUUUAAUAAAUUGUUUAGGUUGUUUUAGUUGUUGAGAAUCUUAGAUUUUAAAUUUAAAUUGUGCAGAUAUUUUACUGUAUGUUGGCUAUUUAAAGCCUCUCCAUGCUUAAGAAAUUUAUUGAAACCUGUUAAAAGCUUAUUGAAAGCUAUUGAAAGUUAUUCAAUCCAUUGACGCCAUUUUAAACCCCUUUUUUGCUGCCCCAUCUUUUUUUAAAAAAACCAACAGUGGUAUCAAGAGCUUCAUUGAUCUUACAGGAUCUGUGAAUUCUUCCAAAGCGCUACCAUAUCAUUUUAACUCGUCAGGGCUACCAUUUUUAACCCGUGCUUAUUUUCAAAGUGUUGGGCUAUUUUCAAUCAAAAAGAUGUCAAGCAACAGUCUUUCUUUGACUGUUCCAAAAAUUUCACAAACAAAAAUAAUAAAAAUUGUUUUGUGAAAAAAUCAUAUCUUGAAACCUAUGCUUUUUGUGAUGUGAUGAAAGAAAAAUUCUUACAAUAUUUAAUGAAGCCUAUGAAAGCUCUUUCAAACAAGACAAGAUUGUUGAUGUUGUUCUUUAAGCAAAAAACCAAAAAAAGAAAAAAGAAAGUCCAAAUUCAAAAAAGAAAAAGAUCAAGAAAAAUCCAGAUCAAUUGCAAGAGCACAAAUUGAAGAGGAGCAACUUUUAAAUUGCAGUAACUAAAGCAAAGGAGGAGUGUUGAGUUUUGCAUUUAGUUGUUGCAGUAGUUUUAGUUUAAUAAAUUGUUUAGAUUAGAAUGAAUAUAAAUUUUGAAUUUUGAAUUAGGUUGUUUUAGUUGUUGAGAAUCUUUAGGAUUUUAAAUUUAAAUUAUGCAGAUUUUGUUUACUGUAUGUUGGCUAUUUAAAGUCUCUCUAUGCUUAAGAAAUUUAUUGAAAGCUGUCAAAAGCUUAUUGAAAGCUAUUGAAAGUUAUUCAAUCCAUUGAAAGCCAUUUUAAACCCCUUUUUCGCUGCCCCAUCUUUUAUUAAAAAAACCAACAGUAAGUAAUGACAACACUUCAUGGAUUUUCCUCUGCUGUAACUGGAAGCUCCAACUUAACUGAGAAUCAUAAAUUCAGGUACCAUGUACCCCGGUCUUGGCUAUAUCCAACUGGAAAUUUGUUAGUUGUAUUUGAGGAAUGGGGAGGAGAUCCUUGCGGAAUCACUUUAGUCAAAAGAGAAAUAGCAAGUGUUUGUGCUGAUAUAUACGAGUGGCAGCCACAGUUAUUGAAUUGGCAGAGGCUAGCAUCUGGUAAAUUUGACAGACCUCUCAGACCUAAAGCCCAUCUUCGCUGUGCACCUGGUCAGCAGAUUUCUUCAAUCAAAUUUGCGAGCUUUGGAACACCAGAGGGAAUUUGUGGAAGCUUCCAGCAGGGAAGCUGUCAUGCCCAUCGCUCAUAUGAUGUUCUCGAAAAGGUAUUUAUGAAUCAUAUUUUGAUGAGUUGGCAUUUUUAACUGAGUUAUAGCCAUCAAAAUUGAGAUUAUUACUGUGUAAACGUGAGAGGCUACAAUAACAACAACAUGCCUAGUAUAGUCCCACAGUGUCUGGGGUAGAGUGUAUGCAGACCUUACAUACCUUGGAGGUAGAGAGGCUCUUUCUGUAGACCCUCAACUCAAGAAAAACAGUCCAACGCAGUCCAGCAAGAGAAUAAACGGAAGUAAACAUGAGAGACUGAUUGGUAAAUAACCGUGUUUUAUCCCAAGAGUUCCUAUCUUCUGUUCAUAUUACUUUCACCUGUUUUUUCUGAUUUUAGUUAAGCAGCUCUAUCUUAAGGGUCUGAACUAGACUGAUUCAGCAUCUUAAAUUGGUAAUUAUUGUUUUUGUAGAAUUGUGUUGGGCAAGAGUCUUGUUCAGUACAGGGCGCACCAGAGAAUUUUGGAGGUGAUCCAUGUCGAAAUGUUCUAAAGAAACUCUCAGUGGAAGCCAUUUGUAGGUGAUGAUCCUGAUGAUACGAGUGAAGAAGUAUUUUAAACAUUUUUUAAGCAAGCUACUGGACAUCCAUAAAUUCACAGUACCAUUUUUGGCUUUGCUGGGAGUGAAGUUGUACAGUUAAGCAACACACCUCUUUGAUCAAAGCUCACCUGAUCGCAAUGAUGAUUGACGACAGAUUCUAUACAUUUUAGUUGGUGUAAAACAAGCAUGUGCAGUUUCGUCCAAGGGCACAUUGGGACGAUUCUUGAUGAGUCGAUGUGCAAAUUUUGUUUGUGCUAUAGAGAAUUGGAAAGCAUUUUGCUUUUUCAUGAACUUCAACAUUGUUCAAUCUAUGUAUAAGAAAGCAAUAAUUCAUUGCUUUGCACAUGGAGAAAUGCCUUUUACGAUGUUGCAGCACCAUCAAGCUCUUCCAUUUACUCCAUUCUAGUUUGUUUAUAUGAUUUUGACUUGGGAAGAAAUUUAAGAAAGCAGUAAUAUUUUUGAGUCUCGUGGUCUUGAACUAAACAUAUAUAAUGUAUUAAAAUGCCUUUUUAUUUUGUGAUCUUAAACAUAUUAUAUGAAAAGUUAGAAUUAAAGAGUUAUCAAAAAGGAAGAAUAUAAUACAUAAAUAAAUACUCAAAUUUGACAUCAGAAAGUAAGUACUCGAAUUUUAAGAAUGCAUAUAAGCACUUGAAUUUUAAGAACGCAUAUUUAGACACUUCUAUUUGGUUUUAACUGAUAAUUAAAUACUGUAAUUCAUCCUUUCUAUAUUUUGGUUUUAACUGAUAAUUAAAUACUGUAACUCAUCCUUUCUAUAUUUUGUAGAUAUUCGAAAUAUGCAUAUUAUUUUGUGGAUAUUUGAAAUAUGCAUAUUUAAAAUUGGAGUGUUUAAUUUUAAGCUAAAAUUAAAUUUGAGUGCGUUUAAGAUCACCGUUUAAGAUCAAUUUUAAGUGUCGGUAUAUCUAGUAUGUCAAAAGAGAAAAAGAGACAAUUUUUGACAAUUUUUUUAAACAAUUAAGGAAGAAAUUUAGACAAACUGACUGAAACUCGCGGGUAUGUGUUGUCACUUGUAUCCCUCAGCAUGUGUUUUCUGUCAAGAUACAUUGGAUGUCUCAUCUUAUUCAAUAGGGAAAGUCAAAGGUGUUUCUUGACAGUUAUCAGCUAUGCAAGUAGACAACUAAGGAACGAUUUGGUAGAAUAUAUUAAAAAAUUAAUGUAUGUAUUAGUUUAAUGUGUGUUAUUAAUAUUUUAUUUGGUAUAUUUUUGCAUUAUUAGUUAUACAUAUUAUUAUGUAUUGUGGUGUGUAUUAUUAAUACCUCAAAAUAUAUGGUAUUAGCAACGCAAUGGAUUCAAUACAUAUAUUAACAUGAUUAAAGACACUAUUAUCCCUAAAAAAAACUUCACAUCCUUUCCAACAUAUAUAUGGAAGAUAUUUUUGUAAUUUUUUUUUUUAAAAAUUAUUUAAUUCAUGUUAUUUUAAUACAUCAAAUCAAACACUGUAUAAUAAAAAUACAAGCAUAACUAAUGCAAGCAUAGCUAACACAAGCAUUACUAAUAUAAGCAUUACUAACACACCAUAUUUUGCAUUAUUCUUAUACACUCUACCAAACGAUCCCUAAAUGUCUUUUUAUAUCACAAAUUGUUGGUUUUAAUACUGUAAUAAAGCAGUAAAGAGAGUUAAGAACUUAGCGGCUGAAAAUAGAAAUGAGAUACAAAAGAAGAGACACAAGACGUUGAAAAGACUUUUUUUCUGUUUCUAAAGUAAACCUGUGUAUUUUUUUUUAUUAUCAACUCUUAAAUAAUAUUAUUAUAACUAAAAAUAGAUUAAACCUAUUUGUUACAAAAAAAUAACAACUAAUCAGUCUCCUAUUAGAAAUAGAAAUUUCAAUUUGAUUAUUCCUUAAAGCAACUUUUAACAUUUCUACUUACUUUAGGAACUGCAAAAUUUUAGUCUUCGGUCUUGGGAUCUCCUCACUUGAUAAUCGAAAGUGACCUUGUGAAUAAAUAUGCAGAUUCAUGUUUUGACUUGUAGUGAACUAAAUUCACUUCUUGUCUUGAAUGCAACCCUUGACUAUUAAAUUUUUUUGGCAUGUCUUCUUGCUUUAUUUGUAUCGUAAAUUUAACCUUACUCCUUUUAUUUUUCUGAAACAUAGAUAACUCCUACAUUACUUCAAUUCCUUUAGGAACAUUGAAAGUUCCUUUAAACCUAGCAGGUUCACAUAUUGCUUGUGCUUUUUCAAUUAGAGGAUCAUCUUCUAAUUUUUUCAGCCUAUGAUUUUUUUCAUGUUCUAUAGAAACAUCUUUCAUUGGAUCAAAAAAGAAAUUUUUGUUGGGUUCAUAGUAUAUGAAAGAAGUGUAAAUGAAAAAAUGUAGGGUAAAAUGGUGGAAAGAAGGAGACACUAAAAUGAAAAGUGUAUUCCCAAAUUAGAAAGUUUACUCUUUCUCCCACAUUGGUGGAAGAAGAGAACUUGAAAGUGUUUAUAAUCAAGAACACUUACUCCAUAUGAUAAGUGAGGCAAGAAAUAAGAGAUGCCUCACGCCGUCGUCGUCGCUCGCUCGGCUUCGGCUUCGGCUUUGGAGUUGGAUUUAGAUUUAUAAAAUGAUCGAUCGAUGAGAGAUAUCUUUUUGGACAAACUUUAUUUGACGAAAUCUGAUCAAUGACAAAAACGCAGAAAAUUUUUUUCUGUGUGUUUAAUACUCCAUUUAUAUGCAUGCAGUAACAGUAACAGAUGCAAUGUUCGAACUGAACUGAUGCUUCAGAAAAGUUACAUUAUUUCGAACUGAUGCUUUAGAAGGAUGCAAUUCUUCAACGAAAUGACACACUGAUUCACGAAAUGGCAUGCCUGUUCGGAAUAGACACACUGUUUGGAUAAAUGGACAUGAAUUUUCAGAAAAGGUUACACCUUUUGAAUGAACCAUUGCCACUUUUCAGAAGAGGCAUCUUGUGGCUAUAUAAACCUGCUUUCAUCCACAGGUUUUGGUACAAAAAUUUUAGAAUAAAAACACUCUUCUUGCCUUAAAAAUAUUUCGUGUGAUCACUCAAAACGUUCAAUGAGUUCAAAGAUAUUCCAGUUGUUUGAGGUACCGCUACAAUUGAUUUGUUUGACCAUUUUAUCCUGGGAGAAAAAUUUUACAAUAUCGGGUACAGUGAGGGGAAUUAUUUUCUUAAGGAAAGUCCGUGAAUUCGGGCGACUUGUCCAUUUCUGUUUUAUCUUUAUUUCUAAAAAUAAAAUACACCUCUUGGAAAGAUCACUUUGAUCUUGUGUUGAGGGUAUUUUCUGCACUUCAUUGUGUUCUUGGUUUAUAAACUUGAACUAGUUGAAGUGGUUGUUUCUAGUAUACCGAUUCUUGUACCCGUAGAAGAAAAAUAACAAUCUUAAGGUAAUAAUUUUACAGAAUCUGUAUUACUUGUUUUUGGAGAUUAAAGCUUUAAGUUUUCUACUCCGCUUGAAUUUAACUAGUGAUUAGAAGACAUAAAAUCUUCAUCACAAGUUAAAGUUCACUCAUUUGGCGAUUUGAAGUUAUGAAAAGUUCAUCGUUAACUAGAAACAAGAAGAAAAGUUUAAAAGUUAUUUAACUUUAUAAGUAGUAUUCUGAAAAUACUAAAUUUUUCUGUCUUGUGGUGAGAAAAAAGAUGACUAAAGAAAGUCAAAUGCAAGAUGCGGCAACGUCUGUGGGAGCAACAAGUAUUGCCAUAUCAAGUCGCACAAAUGCUCCGCCUACAAUGGCACCGGCGGAGAAGCCCAAAAAAUUUACGGGCAUUGACUUUAAGCGACGGCAGCAAAACAUGUUCUUUUACCUCACCACUUUGUGUCUGCAAUGGUUCACUAGCGAAGACGCUCCUGAGGUGCCCGAGGGAACCUCGGACAAAGAGCGUUUCGUAAUUGUAGAAGCUUGGAAACAUUCAGACUUUCUUUGUAGAAAUUAUAUUCUGAGUGGUCUCCAAGACAACCUCUACAAUAUUUACAGUGGAACUAAGAUAUCGAAGGAAUUGUGGGGGGCACUUGAACGAAAAUAUAAAGCAGAGGAUGGGGAAAUUAAGAAAUUCCUUAUUGCACGGUUCCUGAACUUUAAAAUGAUAGAUAGCAAAUCGGUUGUCUCUCAAGUGCAGGAGUUACAAGUCAUCAUACACGAUCUCCUAGCAGAAGGUAUAUCUUUAAAAAAUACCUUGGUUGAACAAAAUAAAAAAGUUCUUAAUACUCACAUAAACUGUUUUGUAGGUUUGAUUGUGAAUGAUGUAUUUCAAGUAGCAGCGAUAGUUGAGAAGCUACCACCUUUGUGGAAAGACUUCAAAAACUACUUGAAGUAUAAACGCAAGGAGAUGACUGUUGAAGAUCUUAUUGUCUGACUGUGUAUUGAAGAGGAUAAUAAGGCUGCCGAGAGAAGGUCAAAAGGGAAUUCUACAAUUAAUGGAGCACAUAUUGUAGAAGAUAAUCAAAACAAUUCUAAGAAAAGGAAGAAAGCUGAACAAGGAAGCCAUCAACCCAAGAAGAAAUUCAAGGGAAAAUGCUUCAAUUGUGGCAAGAUUAGCCACAAGUCCAUGGAUUUUCAUUUAUGAAUUUACGCUAUUUAUUUGUUCUUUCUUUGGUGUAUUCCUUCCUUUAUCCACUACAACACUGGUUAGAUGGGUUAUUUAAUAACUAGAUUGUAACGAUCAAUUAUCUCAUUACUAAAAAUAUUUGCGGUACAGGUAUAUGGAUCUCAUUCUUCAUAUGUGUUAGGAUCAAUUCUUUAGUAUGAGAGUGAAUUUGAUAUGUACUAAGGUCAUAAAAUACCCUUAGCACAAAGUUAAGUUGAAAGUAUCCUUGUCGAUUUAGUUUCAAGCUAAAUUUAUACUAGGAUAAACUUCAAAUGAGCACUCCUACUAGAAUAUAAAUAUAUAGGGGCAUUAAUACCCAUCAAAUAAAAUAUCUCUAAGUUUUCUUCCCAAUACAAUUGAUUGUUCAUCAACUCGCUUUUCUAAGUAAAAAGUUAUGACCAUUUUACUAAAGACUGUUGGUGCUGAAAAAGCUAAGGACGCUAUAUUGGGUUAGGUCGCAAUGGCGACAUCGUUAUACUGAUCGUAUAUCUCUAUAGCGACGCUGCAACAGUUUUGAACCUCCUUUUGACGAUCAGCCCCCAAAUCCCAAAAUUUCAUUUCUAAGCCCUAGAUGAGAGAUUUUCUCUUGGUAUGGGUGGAAAUCCUUUGUUGAGGUAAGUUUUUUCCAUUAUCUUCUUUAUUUUUCAAUCCUUUAACAUUCUAGAAUUUUUAGAACAACCUUUAAUGGUAAAAUUCUUGGGGAAUUGACCCCUAAGUUGAGGAUAUUUUGUGAAAAAUCUAUGUGUUGAGUUAAUAUCACCUAGAAUCACUUCUAAAUUAUUACUUAUCAAUCUCUAGCAUGAAUUAGUGAUUCUAAAACAUGAAAAUCGAUAGUUGGGAACUUUGAAUUUGCUAAAGGUGGAAACUUUAGCCAAAAAAUGUCAUUAAUGGAAUUAGAUUGAGCUUAAAGGAACUAUUUUGAUGACUAAUUGACCCUUGAGUAAUAUUGUAGACCGUAAAUGAGGCUAAAAUUAGUGGUUUUGAAUUCUCAAGAUUUUUUUGAAGUGAUUUAUUAAUUACUCUUGUAAUUUUUAUUAUUAGAUGAUUUAGCCUUUGAAAACAUAAAGUAGAAGGAAGAUCAUCCCUAACAUAGCUUACUUAUUGUAACAGCUUGGCACCCAGGUAAGUUAUGAUUCAUGAGUAGUAGACUUAGUUUAGUAAUCUUAUUCAUAUUGUAAAUUUGACAGGGGAAAUCAUGCUUAGUCAUGUGUGCAUGGAGUUUAAGUGGAUAAAAUAUGAAUUUAAUAUAAUAAGGACCUAAUUGUUUGUUGAUAUAUUGAUGUAUGAAUCCUUGAUGGAUGUUUUGUAUUUAUAUGACUCCAUGAUGGAUUGUAAUGUGAAUUAUGUGAAUAUAGAUGAUAAUGAGAUUGUUUUUGCCUACAAUCUAAUGAUUUAGACUAAUUUCCAUAAAAGGAUGAACUUGAUUUUAUAUGUAUUGGAAUAUAGGAUAAUCUUGCUUAAAGUUAGUGAUGAGAACGGACCAUGGUAGAAAAAGGCGGUGACAUAAAUUAAAAGCCUAAAGUCAAAUUAGGUUAAGGGUUAGAAAGUAAAAAGUAAAAAGUAGUUUGACUAAAACUAGAUUAUAAGUUGAAUGAUUGGCUAAUAGAGUAGAUCUUGAACCUAGUAAUAACUUGAAAGUAAGAGUUGCUACGUAUAGAUGAGGAGGAUUGGAUCAAUGAAUGGAUUUAUGAAUGUUUGGACUAGAGGUUAGACUCUUUUGGGUUGAAUGUGCACUCCUAAAAUGGAUAAUUGAAUUUAGUGAAGAGGUAUGCUUACUUGAAUAAGUCGGGGAUCGAUCUUCGGGCAUUCUAUAAUUAAAAACCCGAUGAUUCAUAUCAAUUUGUGAUUUAGUGUGUUAGAGUAUGAUUGUUGUUUAUAUAAAUUGAUUAGCUCGAGUUGACCAAGUAUAUAUUCGAGUGGCUAUCUAUUGUUGUAAUGAAUACUUAAGGAAUAUAAUUACUAAAUAAUAUCCUAAGUAUUAAUUACAUAUGAUGAGAUUAUAUUAAAGUCUUAUUGACUUAUUGACUGUACAAGUAUGAUAACUUAGUCUCAUUGUAGUUGUGAUUUUUGUGAUAUCUAUUAUUAUUGUGGGAUGUACCAGUAUUUGGAUAUCUUCACGGGAUUGAAUGAUAUGAUUUAUUAAUUGACUCGGGUACUAAGCCAAUACAAUACAUGGAUAAAAGUUUGUCCCUUGCAGGUCAUGAUUAGUGGGUAACCAUAAGACCCUUAGUAUAUAUGUACAAGGUAUGUAUGAGUGUGAUGGUUCCUUGAGUGGACUGGGCAUAUGAUUAUUGUUAUUAUUGUUGUUUAUAUUGGUUCCAAGAGUGGAACAUGUUAUAUUGAAGAUGUUGUUGUAGUUCCUUGAGUGAACCAGAUCAUGAUGUUGCUUGGUAUAUUGGGAUUUUGGUAAGGUUCGGUUACUUAUCAUAGAUUUGGGAUUCUUGUUGUUAGAAUCAUGAUUUGUUGGCUAGGAUAUUUGCUAGAGUCAGGGUUGUUGACUUGGUCAUGAUUGACCUGACUUGUUGUCUCUUGACUUGUACUUGACCAAAGUUGUAGAGUUACUUAAAAAGGCCAAGUCAUAAACUUGAGGUAUUUAUCAUAAUGUGUGUUCAUAGUUAUAUUCAUUACAAGGUGAUGAUUAUGAAUUAUUCACCAUGAUUAAUAACUAUUGAGAUCAAACAAGUGAGAUGUGAAGGUGAUGAAUGAUCAACGAAAAUAAGAAUCAAAAUACUUUUAGUUAAAAUAAGGGAUAAAGAUAGCAUAAGUUGAUGGAGGUGAUGAAUUAAAUUUCAUGAUCCAAAAAUGAGGGUAAUGAUGGCACUUGUCGCGACGUACCUCAACAAGUAAGCCUAUCACCCAAACUGAUAAAAAGGGGGGAAAAGACAGAAAUGUCCAAGGUAAGGCUCCUAGAAUGAAGUCGAACUAUGCAAGUAAUUAUAACAAUGAGGAAAAAACAUAACCAAAACCAUACAUUUCCAAAAUCAGGUGUCAAUAGUGUAAGAACUACUAAUAUAAACCAUGAGUCAAAUACAUCAAAAAUAUCCAUACAUGGUCAACAUCUGUCUCUAGAUACAAAUAAAGACAUAACUACUAUAGAAAGAUAGAGGUGAACUCUGGAUGUAGGAAUGUCCAACCGCUACCUUGAGAAAUCUGAAGGCAGUUGAAAGCAACCAAUCUCAGGCGCACUCUAGCUAGGACCUGCACCGAAAGGGGGCAAUAGGCGUAAGUAUGGUCCACUUGUAUUUAGUAGGUAUCAUAGGCCGAUCAAGCCAAGUAGUAAAUAAAGCAUACAAAAUAUACACUAAGGGCAUGUCACCUGCAGUCAAAAUAUCCCACAAUGGUAUCCCACGCUGCUUGCACUGACAGUUCUACAAUAUGUUUACAUAAUACAACAAUACACCAGAUAGGGAUACAAUUAUACACAAUAUCAUAUACAAGUAGAAUAAAAGAGGAACAUGUAUAAUCAAGAUUAUCAAGUACAAAUAAAGGAAGAUAGAACAAUUAGACAUUAACAAGUCAAGAUAUAGAACAAAUAAAUAGAUGACAAGUCAAUAUGGAAAUACAAGCACAAUAUAAACACAAUAAAACAAGUGCAAUAUAUAUGAUGAUGAUGCAUGAGGUUGUCGCACAACCUCCAUAUACACCCAUAGAGACAAGACUCCCGGGGUAGGACCCAUGAAGGGUUCGUCAACCCAUAUACAAUUCAUAUAUCAAUAUAUCCUCCUUGGCACAUCCCUCAGGGUGGGUUAUAAAAUUUAAUGUUCCCGUUAUUUCCAAAAUUUUUAGUAUUUCUAGAGCGUACAAGAUAUAAAUCAUGUAUGACAAACAACAACAAGAAGUGUAUAUAAAAUAUACAACAAACAAGUGAAAUUAUGUGUAUGAUGCCAUGAGGAUGAUAAUGCAAUGUUCAUAACCUAUCAUAAUGAGUAUUUCCACAACCAACCACAUGAGGUAUUUCCACAGUCAAUCAUAAUAAUACAGUUCCACAACCACGUGAGUCAAUAUCCACUCAUUAAUUCCACCAUCUAUGAAUUUUCACAUGUUUUAUAUGCCAACAAGUAUGAAUAUAUCACAAUACACCAAUGAUACCACAUUAAUUAUUUCAACAAAAAAAUAUAAUUAUUUAAGGAUGUCAAUAUCAUAUAAAAACCUACAUGGUCACACAUAUCACAUAAUCUCUCAAUUCAACAAUUAUAUCAUAUAGGCCCCCACACGAGCACAAAACACAGAUAGUCAUUUUUAUUAUUAGUUCUCACCCUUAACAUGCAUUUGUACCAUUAUUUACUAUCCAUCUCAGUCUGAAAGAGUUAAGUCAUAACCAACCUCGCAUGUCAAAAUUAGUCAGCUAUACUUUGAACCCGCGAUCUUACUUUCCAUGAAUGGUCCCAAAAUUAACUAAAAUAAAAAAACUAUAAAAUCUAUGUAUCAAAAUAAACCAACGAUAUCCAUAUUGACUACUUUUAGUUUGGGGUCAAAACGAACUCCCAUAAUAGAUUUCCAAAAAAGAAGGGCAAAAUUAUAACUUUACUUUAAAAAUGUGUUCUCCAUAUUUUUAGGAACCUACAGCUGAAAACUCAAGUCAAAUCAAGUAAAAAUGAGGUUCAAAUCAAAGAAAAAUUAUUUUUAAGCUUUACUAGAUAAAAUUUUGAAAUCUAGAUUAAAAUAAAGAAUCUGAGUUGUUUUGAAGGUUAAAUUGAUGAAAAACUAGUAAUUAUAAGAUUAAAGCACUGUUCAAGUGAAAAAGAGUGAAAUUGGGGUUUAAAAUCAAGCCCUAAUAUUUUUGGAGUUUUGAAAAAUUAAUCAAGAAAUUACAAAAAAAAAUGGGUGAAUUUUUACCUUAAAUCCGUAAUAAAAUCAAGAAAUAGAUGUUAAUCUAGCUUUCCAAGCUCCCACAAGCUUCACUUUUAAAUUCUCACGCUAUUUUAGGGUUUAAAUCUCGAAGCAAGAUGAAAAAAGAGAAAAAUGAUCCCAAAAAGCUUCUAUAAGGGUUGUUUUUUAGAUGCACCAGCUUUUUUUAAGAAAAAAAUCAGAUUUUAAGUCAAAAAAUAGACUUCGAUGAGGUUCCUGAGAUUCAUUCAGAGUCUGAUACAUGCAAACAAACUAUGCAACCACACUAAAUUUGAUAUUCUAGACACGUUGGCGAAGUCGUGUUUUUGAAAAAAUAUUAUUUUCAUAAAGUUGACCCUCAAAAUCUGAAAUCACAAUUUUCUAAAUUGAGGGUUGAAUUGUAAUACCCCGUACUUUUCCUAGCUUGAAAAGUUUUCCAAGAAUGUUAGAAGCUUUCUUUGAAAGAUGAAUCUACUUUUGUACACGUGGUAUUUUUAAGAUUUUCACUUUUUAUCAUGUGGAGAAUUGAAUAAGCUUUUCAUCGAUACCAAAUUCACCCAAAUUCAACACCCGAGCGAAGAGUUUGAGCCUUUUUAGUGAUACAGUGUAUCACCUGAGCCUUUAACGCGUCUCGGAGAUAGCUCAAAAGGCAAUUGUCAAUUUCUAGUGUUGCUCCGCAAUAGUGGCGCGUUGCAUCAAACUUCCAGGUGGUAGACAAGGUAGCAACGCGAUAGCUCCGCGUCGCGCCACCGUGUAAUUUCCCAUUUGUCACUUUCCAGUAACUUGGCGUGAUAGUGGCGCGUCGCGCCAAUGAUGAAAAUCGAGAAAUUUUCUUAGAAAUUAAAUACAUGUUCUAGGGUUAAAAGGGUCAAUUUCCCACCCUAUAUAAGCCUUAUAACACGAGAUUUGGCCAUAAUUCAGCAACUUAUACUCAAUUACUCUCAAAAUCUCUCAAAAACAAGCCCUAGGAUUUUCAUAGAAGGUUCAAUUCCAAGGGAAUUCACCGUUAAAUUUCAAGAAUCUCUCCGUCAAUCUUCAUAGAAUCACAAGCUAAGGUAUGCGUAGUGUUCAUUCAUGGACUCCUUUCGUCCAUGAAGCCCAAGAAUCUCUUUUCGAAGUUUAAGUUUAUGAAUUUAUUUAUGAAUUUCAUAUUGGGUUUGUUUUGUUUAUAUUGAGAAUGAUCAAUUGAAUUCAAAUCCAUGUUGGGUGAUCAAUUUUAUGUGGAUUUGAUUUGCAUAGAUGUAUAUUCAUGUGAACCUAUGAAUGAACCCUAGGAUGAGGAAAUUUGUGAGAAAUCAUGAUGAUUAAUUAUUGUAUAAUGUUGUAUACAUGUGUUAUUCCUACCAUGUGUUUGAUUAAAUUCCUAAAUGAAGAAACAAUGACCAACUAGUAUGAUAUCAUGAAAUCCCCAUAUAUGUACACGUUAUGCCUAUCACAUAUUUUGGUGAAAUGCUUCUAUAAAUGUAUUAUGGAUUAUGAUGUUAGUUAUAUGUUCAAGUAAGUUAGCUGUGUGUCUAGAGCCAUGUCAUGUUUUCACGAUACUCUCAGUCAAGCUAUAAUCCAUAGAACUCAAUCAGCCAUGUGACUUAGGAAAACCUAGAAAUCUCAGUAAUUUCAGUAGUUCAGUAAUCUCAGUGAUCCCAGUACUCAGUAAUCUCAAUAACCUCAAUAUUCCAAGUCAAUCUCAGUAACUUUAGUAUUAUCAAUCAGCCCUCAGAACUUAGUACAUUUCGUCAGUCAACGAAACUCAUUAAAUUCAGUUUAGUUUAGCUCUACUAAACAAUACCACUAGUAUCAAUUCAGCUCAGUUAAUCAGUUCAGUGUCUUUCAGAUGGGAGUAAAAAUUAGCACCGAGUGAACCCAAGGAUAGAAACUCACCUGUUAUAUGAGGGUGUGAUUCUUAGAAGCAAUCCUUGCAUUCCAGAACUAUGUAGCCAGCAUAAGUUAAGACAUCAUAGCCUGCUAUAUGAGGGUAAAUGAGGUGGCUUAACCUAUUAUAUGAGGGUUCCCACCAUUCUCACUAGAGUUACCUGUUAUAUGAGGGUUACUCAUAGAUUGUCCUUAUCAGUGGGCGGUCUUGAUACCCUUCCAAUUGGGGUUACAGAUGGGCCCCAACUCAGCCAUAAUGGUGUAUUAGGGUCAUAUCGAUUAGAUGACUACUUCCCACAGUUACAGUUUCAGUCUCAGUAAAAGAACUCAGACAGUUCUUUAGAUUUUAGGACUUUCAGAUACAGUUAACUCAGAUAUAGAACGGAACUCAUAUAGUUCCAUCAGAUUCAGGACUAUCAGAUAUAUUCAUUCAUGCUAUCAGUUAUAUCAGUUAUCAGAACUUAUGGUAUUAGCAUUCAACUUCAGGAUUGUCAAAUACAGUCAACCAGGCCAGUUUAUCAUAAUCAGAACUGUCAGACACAGUUAUCUAUAUAUCAGUAACGUAGUAUCUGUCCCUCAGUAUUCAGUAAUACAGUAUCAGUUUCUCACUCAUCAGUGACUCAGAUAUCAAUAUCAGUAAACUCAAUAGUCAGAACUCAGUAUUCAGUCCUAUCAUGAUCUCAGUUAAAAUUACGUAUGCAUACAUGUAUUCUCGCGUUCAUGUUAGUCAGUCAGUUAAUAUUGUUCAUGCAUAUGAACCUAUUGUAUUCAGCCUACCUCACUUGCAUACCAGUAUAUUUAAAGUACUGACGCAUUUGCGCUAUGGUAUCUUAUACCAUAGGUUUAGAGAACCAAUAGUAUCCCAGUUUAGCGACCAGAGUUAGCAGUGAGUCCUCAUCCUUCGAGGACAUGAUGAUUUCAUUACUAGUUCAGAUUUCAGUUUAUUUCAGUAGUUGGAGUUAGUUGGGGAUAUGUCCCAUCAACUCCUUAUUCAGACAGUUUAGAGGCUUUCUGACUACAGUAUGUUCAGACAAUUAUCUCAGUUGUUUUGGUAUUAUUAUACCAAAUUUUUCAGUUAUGAACUAGUAUUGAACCUUAUGGCCUUCAGUUCAUAUUUCUGUAUUUAUUAUAUUAUUACUAUUAUUCAGUGCUCAGUUUACAGAUAUCAAUCAUGGGUUAGCUUGUGAUCUUUUGGGGUCAUAGGCACCGUGUAGCAUUCCAGGUACCAGAUUCAGAGCGUUAUAGAAAUGAGAUUUAAAAAUUAUAAAAUUAGACCAAAUAUGUUACCACCAAAAAUAAACAUUUUGGAGUUGCUGGCAUGGUUAAAUUUUUCAUUCGAGAUCAUUUCAACGAAAUAUGAAUCCCAUACCUAUACUUUUAAUUUUCUAACUUUUUGACCAAUAGGUCGAAAUGAGCUCGGGUGCAUCGGGACUCGAACCAAAGGUCUACCUAGCCUAAAAUUUAUAUUAUAGAGUUUUUGGAGCAGUUCGUUUAGUCAUCAGUUGCAUGAAUCAAAAGAUAUUCACAUAAGUCCAAAAUAAGGCUCUCGAAGCCAUCAAAAAUCAUAAUAUCAUAUAAGUUCUACCAAAAUACAUUGGAAAUCAUGUCAAUCACACCCACACUUCAGAAAUAAUAUAAUGCAACUAUCAAAAAGGGUAAAAUAGUAAAAUCCCACAGAAACAUACAUUUCACAUAUUUCAUCAAAAAAUUGGUAUGAUGACCCUUCAGGUCAUUUUAUAUAUGUAUGCUUAUUUCAGUUGUUUGAGCUUCUCCAUAGUUGUCCCAAGUUAUUUAUGACUUGCUGGGACCGACGGUUUGAUUAUCGGGCAGUUCAUUUGAUUUUUAGAGUCGAUUUUCUGUUUUGAAGUCUUCGUUGGUUCCAAAUAGCCAUCGGACAAAAACUUCAGUGAAAUGAUCUCGGAUGCAAAUUUUGAUUGUGCCAUAAGAUCCAAAAUAUUUAUUUUAGUCUAGGUAGACCUUUGGCUCGACUUCCAAUGCACCCAAGCUCAUUUUGGCCUAUUAGUUGAAAGUUGGAAAAUCAGAACUAUAGGUGUGGGCCCCAAUUUUUUCUAAAAAGAUCUUGAAUGAAAGUUUUGAUGAUUUCAAUAGAUUUUAAAUGUUGUUUACACUUAAAUUUCACUAUGGAAUCAUAUAUUUUGGACUCCGAAUGAGUUUUGAGGGUCAAAACUAAGUUUUUGACUUUGCUGUCAUGGGGUGUCGCAAAUUUGGGUAUUUUCCUUCAUCUUUGAGAGCCUAAAACCCUAAAUGGAUAUGAUAACUCAAAAUUUAGUCUUGUGGGUGUCUAGGGAUCUUGAUAAACAUCUUUUAUCCCAAAACCUCAAUUUAGCUUAGGGAUUUAUUUAGCCAAAAUUGGUUUGUUUGCACCCAUUAAUUGAGGGGUUAUGAUUCCUUGGUGAUGUAUGAGAAUUGGGUUGACCUCAAAAGCGCAAUUUUCGUAUAUGGACUCACUUGGGGUUUUUGGUGUCAUUUUAGGACCUAAAGCACAAUAGUGCAGUAUGGGUAUCAUUAGACUCGUAUUGAUGAGUAAAUUAUAUUUUUGAUAGCAUGAUAGUAUGUUGGGGAUUGUGAAGUGAAGAAGAGCAUGUGGUGCAUGAUGUGAGGUUUUGCGGUUCGGCCUUGAGGUAGGCUUCUACCUACUCUUCUUCAAAGAUGAUAUGUGUUAUGUAUGGCAUGUGAGCAUGAAUGUUAAACUUGAUUAUGAAUAAAUAACCUAGUAUUGAUUAUUGAUGAUUGGGGAAUUGGAUGAGGGUUUUGGACCCGUAAGGUAGUAUAUUUAUAACCUUUUUAGAAACUUAUUGCCUUCUCCCUAGAUUGAAUAAGUUUGUAGUAUGAAAAUGUUAUCCUGCUAAGUUUGGGAUGUGGUUUGAGUGUUAGAAUAAUGGUUAGUGUGAUUGACCUUAGUUGGGAUAGUAUAGUGAUCUUAAAAUUGUAUCUUGGGGUAGAAUUAACAUAAUUGACCAUGCUUCUAGAUGAAUUUCCUAUUUUAGGAUUGGUUGUGGCUUACUUGACAUCUAGAAUUUGAACUAAACACCUUAACCUAGUUUUGGGCGUAAUUUACCUAAAUACAGAGAUUGAGGAUUAGAAGUGGAAUCAUCCAGCCUAUUUAGGCCAAGACUUGUGUUAGCCCUUGUGGGCUUAGUUGCGGAUAGUAGGCCUAGUUGCAACUAAUAAAUCUUAUUUAUGAGAUUUAUUUGGUGAAUUGAUAAAUUUUGAUGAUUUUUGCUGGAUUAUGGUUAAUGGAAUAUAGAGAUAUUAAUUUCACUUAGAUGUGAUAUUGGCCCUUUAGAGAUGUUAUAACCUCUUAGUUAUUAUAUUUAGCCCAUAGAGAUGCAUUUUCUCCUUAAUUAUGAUAUUUAGCCCAUAGAGAUGCAUUUUUCUCUUAAUUAUGAUAUUUGACCCAUAAAGAUGCAUUUUUUCUUAAUUAUGAUAUUUGGACCAUAGAAAUGUAUUUUCUUCUUAGUUAUGAUAUUUGGUCUAUGGAGAUGAUUUUCCUCUUAGGUAUGAUUAUUGAGCUUAUAGAGAGGAUUUUCCUUUUGGUCAUGAUAUAUAACCUACACAUAUGAGAUGUCUAAUAGAGGUGAUAUGCUUAUUGAUAUUAUGCAUCCUAGAUAUGAAAUACCUCCUAUAUGUGAAAUGAUUAUAGAUAUGCUAUGGAUUAUAAAUAUGAUUGUCGAUAUGAGUUUCGGAUACGUAUAUGGGCCUAAGGCCAUGAUUAUGAUGUUGUGAGUAUUUUGGAUAAUUAUUGAGCCAAGGUCCAUGUUAUGAUAAUGAUUGGAUAUUCGAGAAGUGUUUAUCAUUGUAAAGGUUACGAUUAAAGUUUAUGGAUUCAUAUAUAUGUUUUAUAUACGCAUCUCUCUGGUAUAGGAUAGAAGAAGAUGUGGUAUGUUGCUUAUGACCUAUUUGAUUUGAGACUGGUGAUGACAUGUAUAGAUUUGGUACUUUCAUAGUUAUUAUAUUGGUAACUUAUGAUUCUAGAAGAAAUACGAUCUUAUGAUUGUUCUACUUAAUCAUGGAUUAAGCUAUGUGGUAGUUAGUUGUCUAUGAGGAGACUAUAGCACUUGGUGACUAGGAAUUAAGGGGUCGUUUGGUAGAGCGUAUAAGAUAAUACUGAAUAGGCUGUAUUAGUAAUGUUGGGAUUAGUAGUGCAGGGAUUAGUAAUAUUGGGAAUAGUAAUAUUGAGAUUAUUUUUUAUACAGUGUUUGGUUUGAUGUAUUGAAAACAAUAUGUAUUGUUAUAUUUUAAAAAGAAUAUUUGUUUGUUUACAAAAAUACCCUCAACAUAUUAUAACUUUGUGUAUUUUCUUUGCGAAACUUUAUUAUUCUUUUUUUUAAAUAAAAAACUGAACAAUAUAACUAAUUGUUUACUUUGAAAUAAUUUUAAGAUUUAAUUAUUCACUUGCAAUUUUUUUGGGGGGUUAUCUUUUCUUUAUUUGUUUAUCAUUUGUUUGUUAUUCCCAUUUUGUGGUGUUUUUAAGUUGGAGGGGGUACGUGUAACUUUUGAAUGAGACAAUAGAAUUAUUAUUAACAUAAAGUUGUGUUCGGUAGAGUGUUAAAGCUAAGUAGAAAAAUUAUUUUUAUUUAUAAAUAUCCUAUUUACAAAAUGAAAGCUAGUAUGCAAUCAUGCAAUUUAUUUUCAGAUUUUCAUCAAUAAGUAUUUUUUUUUAUGACUAAAAUUAUUUGGAGGGAUAUUAUUAUCUUGAUAACUAAUUUAUUUAAAUAAAUUUAUCAGUACAAAUAUAAAAAAUAAAAUUAAGAAAAUAAAAAAAUAUUUAAAAGAAUUUGAGGGAUAUUUUUGUCUUUACACAUAUUAGUCCAUGGUAUUAAAACUCAUGUAUUGCUAAUACCACCAUAUGGGAUGUAUUAGUAAUACACCCUAUAAUACCAUAUAGGGUGUAUAACUAAUACAUGGUAUUAGUAAUACAUAGGUCCAUAAUUCUACCAAACAAAGUAUUAAGUAAUACCACACUUAAUACAUGGACUAUUUUUUUUAAUACGUCCUACCAAACGACCCCUAAAUGUAUUAGUUAAUGAGUCUUGCUUAGUUGAAACAUGGUAGCUAUCAAUGGUUGAUAUGUGGCUAAUAAUGAUGUCGGGUUUAGCUUAGGUUAAGAUUAGUUAUAUUGAUGACUAAGUUUAUAAUAUCGAUUAGUUGUCAGAAUGAGGAGUUGUGUAUUAACGAGGCUAGAUAAUAAGUGAUAUUGGUAAUAAGAGGUGACUUGUCAAUAAUAAUGAAUAAUUACGAAAUGGUUGAUUAAUAAAUAGUUAAAUGAGGAUUAGUUGGUUACGAUGGUUAGCUAAUGAAUGAUGUAAGUUAAUUAAGGAUGGUUAGAUGAUAAGUGGUUAUGUGUUGUCUAAUAAUGGUUAACGCAUAUAUGUUGUUUAGUUGAUAAUAUUGAAUAGUGUAUAAAUGACAAUUAUGGUCUAGUAAUAAACCAUAGCCAUAUGUUAUAUAUUGGCUAUUUGAUUAAUAAUGGUUAGUUGCCGCCCAUGAAUAAGGCUAUUGAAUUAGGCUAAUAACUAGAGGUCAUGUAAUGAAUGGUGAACUAGUUGUUUUAUUAUAAUAAGCGUUGGUUAGAUAAUGACUAGUAGUUGGGAAGUAUUGACUAGAUAGAUACUUUCAGGUGAUAUGAUUAUGCUCCUGAGUAUAUUAAUAUAUGUUAUUCUGUAAUGACUAUUGUGAUAUUGAUACCCAGCAAUGUCGAAGGAUACUAAUGUGAUAUAGAUACACGGCAAGGCUGGAGGAUGCUAUUGUGAUGAUAUUGAUACCCGACAAGGUCGGAGGAUACGAUUUUGAUAUUGAUAUCCGACAAGGCCGGAGGAUACUAAUGUGAUAUUGAUACCCGCCAAGGUUGGAGGAUGCUAUUGUAAUGAUAUUGAUACCCGAUAGAGAUGGAGGAUAUUAUGAUGAUACGUUGAUACUCGACAAGGCUGGAGGUUAAUUACAAUGAUGAUGAUUAUGAUGAUGCCAAUUAUGAUGAGUUAUGAUAUUAAUUGUUUACCUUGCAUUCAUUUCUACAUGUGCAUCGCCUAUCACCAGUAUACACCUAUGUUUAUCAGCCGGGAUAGGACGGUUGCAUAAAUAUGGGGGAAGAAUAUGCCUUGUGUUAUUGUGUAUUGAUUGAAUCUUCCGAGUCUGGGGCAGUGGAGGUAUACAUAGGCUCAGCUAGGUAUUUGGUCGUCCGGAGUAGCGGUUAUUCAUGUUAGUAUUGAUAUUGUAAUUAUCUCUGUUAUGAUCAUUGUUAUGGUUAGCUUAUGACAUAUUGGACAUUAAUCCAGUAUCGAGAAUUGAGGUAUGUCUUUGGCCUUUUCUAUCUUAUGAUGGUAUUAUUUUACAUGAUUAUAUCAUGUUUAGCCAUGUGGAUUAGAAAUCCUGAGUAUGAUAGUAUUGGAUCCUAAUAGUAUCAUGAUGAGGUCUUGAAAUGAGGAUAUAAUGAUCUAGACUAUUCUUUGAGAUGACGUUAUGUUUACGUGUAUGUAUAUAUGUAUCUUGCUAUAUGAAGUUAUGGCACUACCGUGUAUCCCUUUCUUUAUUUGUUCAUAUUAUAUAUUCGUUUCUUGACCUUGUAUAUUGCUAUAUAUCUCUCUUUCACUCUUUAUUUGUAUAUUGACCUGGGAUAUAUGGUAUCGUAUUGAUGUCUGAUGAAUGUGGCUGGAAUAAGAUAGUUCACGUUGAUACUUUCUUAGUCUUGUUAUAUUAGACUCUUGGACUUGAACAGGAUAGUGUUGACACCCAAUUUUAACCUCUCGAUACUACUUUUGGGCUGCUAUUUUAUCAAAAUUAUUUAAUUUCAAUUAUUAAUAUUUUUUACACAUUAUUCUUAUAUAAAAUACAUAUUGACGUGUCACAUUCAUAAUCUAGAAAAAUGCAAAAAUUAUUUCAUUAUCUUUUAGUAUAAUUUUUUAAAUUUUAAAACUCAAAUGCGACAUUUAUAUAAUUUAACUAAAUUAUUCAUAACAGUGCAUGAUUCACAGUUUUGCAAAUACAUUGGCUAGUUUUCCAUUAUUUAGUAUUAUUAUUAUUAUUAUUAUUUAUUAUUAUUAUUACUUUUUAUUAUUUAUUAUUGUUAUUAUAUAUUAUUAUUAUUAUUAUUAUUAUUAUUAUUAUUAUUAUUAUUAUUAUUAUCUCUACUAUUAUUUAAAUAACAACCUAAAUUGACAUCAUCUUGCAUAAUUCAUUGAUAUUUUAGCCACUUUCUAUUCAAUUUUAUCAAUUUCUUACGAUUCUAGCCACAUCCUAACUCCACAUAAUUUUAAAUCCCACCCGUUGAUCAAAAUUGAUCUAAUGGCUGACAUCAAUCUCCAUUUCUUUCCAUUUAUACACCAAAACCUAACCCCAAUCCUUACUCUCCCACAAAGAGCCACCCCUCACCUCUCUCUCUCACUAUCUCCCCUCUCACUAUCCUCUCUCUAGUUCCCCCGCCGCCUCCUCCUCCUCACGUCGGCCACCAUGGGCGAGUCAAACUCGCCGCCCUCGUCACCACUACCGUCCUUCGUUCUUCACAGGCCGGUUAACCGUCAAACCGCCGCCUUCUCCGCCUUCGCUCACCAGCCAUCGGAGAAAGAGCCCAGCGAACAACCAUCGCCGGAGGACGUUGGAAAACAGCCACCACUCCCAACGGCAGCCCACCGGCGCCUCCCGUCUCUCUCUCUACCGUUCGACAGCCAUGCAGCCGGCGGAACCCCGCCGCCUUGAACCAGCCACCGGCGCCGCUGCUGCCAUCAUCCCCUCCACUUCUCCACCGCCAUGCAACCACCAAUAACCACAAGAAAGCAACCAUCCGCCGCCCCGUUCCCCUCAGUCAGCCACUAGCAGUCGCCGUCCUCCCCUCCAUCUCCACGCCCAGAUCUGGUAACCCCUUCGUCGAAAAUCGAUGGGUGUUAGGACUCAUCCCGGGUUUCUUUUCUUGAUUAAUUUCUUGCCUAAAACUAAAAUUUGUGAUAAAGUGUUGUGUCUGCAUGUUUACCAAUAUUUGUUAAAUAACGCAUGAUCCCACACACUUCUUUUAAAUCUUGAAGUUUGUGGAAUGUGAUGUUAAGUUUUGCUCUUGUUUCAUGUUUUGUUUUCGUAAUUUGACAUAUGUAAAAGCCUUAGGAUUCUUGUCUGUGACCCUAAAUUGUGACUUGAGUAUCGAUUUUGUGACUCAUAGACUGAUUUUGUGGUUCGUAAUUUGUUAUGAUUUUUGUACUGCUGUAGUGUUUAGAUUUAGAUUAAUUUGAAUUUCUAAUUUUCAUGGGCAAUCUGGGUGAUUUGUUUACCUUAAUCAAGUUGUACAUGAUUUUCUUUGGUUACAUUAGAUGUGAUUAUGUUCCAAAUUACGGUAAUCCAAAAUAAAAGUAUCCUGUAUUUGUAAUUGCUCUUUCACAUGUGUUAUAUAUGAUAGCAAAAGUUAAUGCAUAUUUAUAUUUUCUAUUAUUUUAAAACAUCUUUUACUUAUUUAUUUAGGGUAAAUUUAUUUCCAAUUGAUUCAGUCUCUCCGAUUAAGGAAAAUAACGCCGUUGAUUGAUUUCCUCAACUUUUGCUUUCCUUUUAUUAUGUGAUUGAAUCUUACGUAAUUUAUUUUAUCAAAGGAUCUCCUUGAUUGACCCAUCAAAAUAUUUCCUUCCCUUUUACUUUCCCGACUUCCUCAUUAUAUAAACAUCCCUUUUUAUCACUUACGGACAACUCUUCAAUUACAAUCACUCUCUAAAAUAAAAACUACUAGAUACUGUAAGACGAAGAAAAGGAUAUUCUCAAGCUAUUUGGUUUCUCUGAUUCCGACAAGGCAUUCAUCUCGCUUUACUAUUGCAAUCAUACUACUUUUCGUUCUUUAUUAUUAUUUUCGUCGUUUACUGGUAAGUUCUCAAAACGAUGUAAUUUUCAUUCUUUGUGUGUAUUGAUUGCGUCAUGUUGUGAAAGCCUUUAGAAAGCAUGUCUAUAGGAAUAUUUCGAUGUUCGUUAUUAUAUGAGCUGUUUGCUUGCCAUUACAGUUUGUCUCACAGGUUUAAAUAAAUAAUUACGGGGUUUCCGAAGAGUCGCCGGGGUGUUUACAUUAUAUUGUAGUAGUUCUAUUUAAUUUUAUUUUCUUAUUAUUUGGUUUGUAAUAUUAUUGUAUAAACAUUACUGUUAUUGUAAUAAUAAUUUUGGGGACUGCUGGGGGGGGCUACGUACUCUGUGAAUAGUAUAGGUAGGCACAACUUAGGAUUUUCUGUGAAUAGUAUAGGUAGGCACAACUUAGGAUUUUCUGUGUAUUACGUGCUAUAUGAAUCACCUAAUAUUCGAAAACGUUUUGGCACUUAAAGCCAUAACUUAUUAACAUGUCAUUGCAUGUUUGGCACGUCAACAUUGAUCUAGGCAUAACAAAAUAAUUUAAUUUUUCACCGCAUGUUAGC
rnacentral:lncRNA from 1 species